CGCGCGGUGCCCUUCCCGCAGCACGCGUGCGCUAAGGGCUAGCGGGGCAACUCUAGUGGACGGGCCUGGGUUCCGCGAGGGACGCUGGCUGCUUGCCGCUGGUGGAUGCUAUUCUGCUAAGCAUUAGAAUGAAACAGUUGCCUGCAGCAACAGUUCGUCUCCUUUCAAGUUCUCAGAUAAUCACUUCAGUAGUCAGUGUUGUAAAAGAACUCAUUGAAAACUCCUUGGAUGCUGGUGCUACAAGCAUAGAUGUGAAACUGGAGAACUAUGGAUUUGAUAAAAUUGAGGUUCGAGACAAUGGUGAGGGUAUCAAGGCUAUUGAUGCACCUGUAAUGGCAGUGAAGUACUACACCUCAAAAAUAAACAGUCAUGAAGAUCUGGAAAAUUUGACAACCUAUGGUUUUCGUGGGGAAGCCUUGGGGUCAAUUUGUUGUGUUGCUGAGGUUUUAAUUACAACAAGGACAGCUGCUGAUAAUUUUAGCACUCAGUAUGUUUUAGAUGGCAGUGGCCAUAUAUUUUCUCAAAAACCUUCACAUCUUGGUCAAGUAACCAGUCUAAUCUGGAUGGCCAGUGGCUCUGUAUCACCCAUACUUCUCAUGCUUUUAUGUAUUCAUCUCCAUGGGAACUAUGAAAUAACAAUCCUUAAAUAUGGACUCCACCUGAUCUUUGCCCUUUUGCUGGCUGAUUUUUCUUUGCCUGCUGACCUCAGUCUUCUACCUUUAGUGAGAUCAGGUACAACUGUAACAGCUUUGAGAUUAUUUAAGAAUCUACCUGUAAGAAAACAAUUUUACUCCACCGCUAAAAAAUGUAAAGAUGAAAUUAAAAAGGUCCAGGAUCUCCUCAUAAGUUAUGGUAUCCUUAGACCAGAUUUAAGGAUUGUUUUUGUACAUAAUAAGGCAGUUAUUUGGCAGAAAACUAGAGUAUCAGACCACAAGAUGGCUCUCAUGUCAGUUCUGGGGACUGCUGUUAUGGGAAACAUGGAAUCUUUUCAUUACCACUCUGAAGAAUCUCAGAUUUAUCUAAGUGGAUUCCUUCCAAAGCAUGAUGCGGACCACUCUUCCACAAGUCUUUCAACCCCAGAGAGGAGUUUCAUCUUUAUUAAUAAUAGACCAGUACAUCAAAAAGACAUAUUAAAGUUAAUCCGACAUUAUUAUAAUCUAAAGUGCCUAAAGGAAUCUACUCGUUUAUAUCCCAUUUUCUUCAUGAAAAUUGAUGUUCCUACAGCCAAUGUGGAUGUAAAUUUAACACCAGAUAAAAGUCAAGUAUUAUUACAGAAUAAGGAAUCUGUUUUAAUUGCUCUUGAAAAUCUGAUGACAACUUGUUAUGGACCUCUACCUAGUACAAAUUCUUAUGAAAAUAAUAAAACAGAUGUUUCCUCAGCUGACAUGGUUGUUAGUAAAACAGCAGAAACAGAUGUGCUUUUUAAUAAAAUGGAAUCAUCUGGAAAUAAUUACCCAAAUGUUGAUACUUUGGCCAUUCCUUUCCAAAAUGAUGUCCAUAAUGGUGAAUCUAGAAAAAACCCUAAUCAUUGUUCAGAUCACCAGAUAAGUAUUGAUAAGCAUUGUGAUGAUUUUAGUUCUGAAAAUUACAGCAUUAGUAAAGACCCAAGAAAUACAUUUCAAAAAAUCUCAUUGAAUAAUUUAUUAGGGGAGGACAAGCAGAGUGAAUGUAGUGAAACUUGUUUUGUAGGUUCUAUUAAGCGUACCCAAUUUGAAAAUGGCAGUGAAGGCCAUAUUGAUGAGAAUGAGGAAAAAGAAGAGGAAGCAGUUUCUGAGAAGUCUUUGGAAAUUUGUGCAGAUGACUGGAGCAAGGGAAAUGUACUUAAGAAUUCAGAGGGAGAAAAUAUUGAACCUGUGAAAAUUUUAGUGCCUCAAGAAAGUUUAGCAUCUAAAGUAAGUAAUAAUAAUCAUCCAGGCCUUGAACAAAAGAACUCCAGUGAUGAUUCCUGUAUCAAAAAAUCAAAUGUAAUAGAUAACAAAUCUGGACAGCUUACAGCCUAUGACUUAAUUAGUAGUCGAGUAAUCAAAAAACCCAUGUCAGCAAGUGCCCUUUUUAUUCAAGAUCGACGUGCUCAGUUUCUCACACAAAAUCCUAAGACUAAUUUGGAGGAUGCAACAAUACAAAUUGAAGAACUGUGGAAGACAUUGAGUGAAGAGGAAAAACUGAAAUAUGAGGAAAAGGCUACUAAAGAUUUGGAACGAUACAAUAGUCAAAUGAAGAAAGCCAUUGAACACGAGUCACAAAUACUAAAAGAUGGCAGAAAAAAGAUAAAAUCCACCAGCACAUGGACUUUGGCACAGAAGCACAAGUUGAAAACCUCAUUAUCUAAUCAACCAAAACUUGAUGAGCUUUUUCAGUCCCAACCUGAAAAAAAAAGGAGUGAAAACAUUAAAACAGUAAAGAUUCCCUUUUCUGUGAAAAACUUAAAAAUAAAUUUUGAGAAACAAAAAAAAAUUGACUUAGAAGAGGAUGAACUUUGCUUGAUCCACAAUCUCAGGUUUCCUGAUGCAUGGCUAAUUACAUCCAAAACAGAAAUAAUGUUACUGAAUCCAUAUAGAGUAGAAGAAGCCCUGCUAUUUAAAAGACUUCUUGAGAAUUAUAAACUUCCUGCAGAACAACUGGAAAAGCCAAUUAUAUUAACAGAGAGUCUUCUUAAUGGAUCUCAUUAUUUAGAGGUCUUAUAUAAAAUGACAACAGAUGACCAAAGAUACAGUGGGUCAACUUACCUGUCUGAUCCUCGUCUUACAGCAAAUGGUUUCAAGAUAAGAUUGAUAUCAGGUGUUUCCAUUACUGAAAACCACUUAGAAAUAGAAGGAAUGGCUAAUUGUCUUCCAUUCUAUGGAGUAAUGGAUUUAAAAGAAAUUCUUAAUGCUAUAUUAAACAAAGAUGCAAAGGAAAUUUAUGAAUGUAGACCUCGCAAAGUGAUAAGUUAUUUAGAGGGAGAAGCAGUGCGCCUAUCUAGACAAUUACCCAUGUAUUUAUCAAAAGAGGACAUCCAAGAUAUCAUCUGUAGAAUGAAGCAACAAUUUGGAAAUGAAAUUAAAGGAUCAUAGAAAUGAAUGAUGAGUUAAGAAGAAACAGGCAAGAAAUUGUGAAUGGACUGAACAUAUUUUUGGAAGAAAGUGAAGAAGAAGAAGUUUCUUUAGAAGAACUUGAAGAAGAAUUUGACAUUCUUGAGGUAUCAAAAUAUAUUAUUUCUACCCAUCACCCCCACCAUUGUCUGGUUCUUAUAUUUGCAAGUAAAAUGUGUUAAUAACUUUAUAAGGAGAACAAAGACAGUAUUCAACAAGAAUGUUGAGUUUAUGAAAUUCAUGAAAAAAAGAUGCUCUAAAUUUAUCUAAACUUAUCUUGGCUUUCAGAACAGCAAAUAUUCUGAUAUUUGUCUGGAAGAAAAAUGUAUGUUUUUUGUUCUUUUUUGUGUUGUGGCUUUCUGGGUUUCUUAUAGUUAUUGUUGUCCCUUUGUUUUCUCCUGCAUUACAAAUGGACCUAAGUAUUUCCAGAAACUAGGAGCUAAAGGAGAAGGAAUCAGAUAGGAAUGAUUUCUAUCAAUGCAAAUGGUAGCAAGAUGAAUUUUCUCUUAAAGGGGAAAACUAUGAUGAGGAAGAAACAGAAACUAUAAGUGAAGAUGGUAGUUCAAAAGAAGCACAUGAUAACAUAAGAACACCUCAAAAAGUAUCCCUCAGGAGUAUCUCAUCAAUGACAGAUGAAGAGGCAAAGAAAACACCGAUAUGGAAAAGAAAAGAAAGCGACUGGAACGCUUUGGACUCCUUUGAUAAUCUCUCUAAACUUUUCCUCUCUAAAUUUUAUAUAUUAAAAGUAAAUAUAAUGACCAA